AUUGAACGCUGGCGGCAUGCCUUACACAUGCAAGUCGAACGGUAACAGGUCUUCGGAUGCUGACGAGUGGCGAACGGGUGAGUAAUACAUCGGAACGUGCCUAGUAGUGGGGGAUAACUACUCGAAAGAGUGGCUAAUACCGCAUGAGAUCAACGGAUGAAAGCAGGGGAUCGCAAGACCUUGUGCUACUAGAGCGGCCGAUGGCAGAUUAGGUAGGUGGUGGGAUAAAAGCUUACCAAGCCGACGAUCUGUAGCUGGUCUGAGAGGACGAUCAGCCAAACUGGGACUGAGACACGGCCCAGACUCCUACGGGAGGCAGCAGUGGGGAAUUUUGGACAAUGGGCGCAAGCCUGAUCCAGCAAUGCCGCGUGCAGGAUGAAGGCCUUCGGGUUGUAACCUGCUUUUGUACGGAACGAAAAGCCCUGGGUUAAUACCCUGGGGUCAUGACGGUACCGUAAGAAUAAGCACCGGCUAACUACGUGCCAGCCGCCGCCGUAACAC
rnacentral:rRNA from 1 species